UGCAAGUCGAGCGCCCUGCUUGCAGGGAGCGGCAGACGGGUGAGUAACGCGUGGGAACGUGCCCUUCGGUACGGAACAACAGUUAGAAAUGACUGCUAAUACCGUAUACGACCUCCGGGUGAAAGAUUUAUCGCCGAAGGAUCGGCCCGCGUUAGAUUAGCUAGUUGGUGGGGUAAAGGCCUACCAAGGCGACGAUCUAUAGCUGGUCUGAGAGGACGACCAGCCACACUGGGACUGAGACACGGCCCAGACUCCUACGGGAGGCAGCAGUGGGGAAUAUUGGACAAUGGGCGAAAGCCUGAUCCAGCCAUGCCGCGUGGAUGAAGAAGGCCCUAGGGUUGUAAAGUCCUUUCGAUGGUGAAGAUAAUGACGGUAACCAUAGAAGAAGCCCCGGCUAAUUUCGUGCCAGCAGCCGCGGUAAUACGAAAGGGGCUAGCGUUGUUCGGAAUUACUGGGCGUAAAGCGCACGUAGGCGGCUUGGUAAGUUAGAGGUGAAAUCCCGGGGCUCAACCCCGGAACUGCCUUUAAAACUACUUGGCUAGAGGAUGUGAGAGGAUAGUGGAAUUCCGAGUGUAGAGGUGAAAUUCGUAGAUAUUCGGAAGAACACCAGUGGCGAAGGCGACUGUCUGGCACAUUUCUGACGCUGAGGUGCGAAAGCGUGGGGAGCACACAGGAUUAGAUACCCUGAUAGUCCACGCCGUAAACGAUGAGGGCUAGUUGUCGGCAAGCAUGCUUGUCGGUGACGCA
rnacentral:rRNA from 1 species